rnacentral:rRNA from 1 species
GAUGAACGCUGGCGGCGUGCCUAAUACGUGCAAGUCGAGCGAACAGACGAGGAGCUUGCUCCUCUGACGUUAGCGGCGGACGGGUGAGUAACACGUGGAUAACCUACCUAUAAGACUGGGAUAACUUCGGGAAACCGGAGCUAAUACCGGAUAACAUGUUGAACCGCAUGGUUCAACAGUGAAAGACGGUUUUGCUGUCACUUAUAGAUGGAUCCGCGCCGCAUUAGCUAGUUGGUAAGGUAACGGCUUACCAAGGCAACGAUGCGUAGCCGACCUGAGAGGGUGAUCGGCCACACUGGAACUGAGACACGGUCCAGACUCCUACGGGAGGCAGCAGUAGGGAAUCUUCCGCAAUGGGCGAAAUCCUGACGGAGCAACGCCGCGUGAGUGAAGAAGGUCUUCGGAUCGUAAAACUCUGUUAUUAGGGAAGAACAAAUGUGUAAGUAACUAUGCACGUCUUGACGGUACCUAAUCAGAAAGCCACGGCUAACUACGUG